CCUACGGGAUGCAGCAGUGGGGAAUAUUGGGCAAUGGAGGAAACUCUGACCCAGCAACGCCGCGUGAAUGAUGAAGGUCUUCGGAUUGUAAAGUUCUUUUCUAAUGGAAGAAGAAAGUGACGGUACCUUAGGAAUAAGCCUCGGCUACCUACGUGCCAGCAGCCGCGGUAAUACGUAGGAGGCAAGCGUUAUCCGGAAUGACUGGGCUUAAGGGUUUCGUAGGUGGUUUGAUAAGUUGGUAGCGUAACUCCGAGGCUCAACCUCGGCACUACUACCAAAACUGUAGGACUUGAGUGAGGGGGGGGCAACUGGAAGUCCUAGUGUAGCGGUGGAAUGCGUAGAUAUUAGGAGGAACACCAGUGGCGAAGGCGAGUUGCUGGACUGUAACUGACACUGAGGCACGAAAGCGUGGGGAGCAAACAGGAUUAGAUACCCUAGUAGUC
rnacentral:rRNA from 1 species